GCGCCCUUAGCUCAGCUGGAUAGAGCAGCCGCCUUCUAAGCGGCAGGUCGCAGGUUCGAGCCCUGCAGGGCGCGCCA
rnacentral:tRNA from 1 species